rnacentral:rRNA from 1 species
UGGGGGAUAUUGCACAAUGGAGGAAACUCUGAUGCAGCGACGCCGCGUGAGGGAAGAAGGUCUUCGGAUUGUAAACCUCUGUCUUUGGGGACGAAGAAAGUGACGGUACCCAAAGAGGAAGCCACGGCUAACUACGUGCCAGCAGCCGCGGUAAUACGUAGGUGGCGAGCGUUGUCCGGAAUUACUGGGUGUAAAGGGUGCGUAGGCGGACUGGCAAGUUGGAUGUGAAAUCUCCGCGCUUAACGUGGAGGUUGCAUUCAAAACUGUUGGUCUUGAGUGAGGCAGAGGCGGGCGGAAUUCCAGGUGUAGCGGUGAAAUGCGUAGAGAUCGGGAGGAACACCAGUGGCGAAGGCGGCCUGCUGGGCCUUAACUGACGCUGAGGCACGAAAGCAUGGGUAGCAAACA